rnacentral:misc_RNA from 1 species
AGCAGCCGCGGUAAUUCCAGCUCCAAUAGCGUAUAUUAAAGUUGUUGCAGUUAAAAAGCUCGUAGUUGAAUUUCGGGAUCAGUUGAUCGGUCGUGCCUCGGUACGUACUGGUCAAAUUGAUUCCUACCUUCUGACGAACCACGAUGUCAUUAAUUUGGUGUCGUGGGAAAUCAGGACUGUUACUUUGAAAAAAUUAGAGUGUUUAAAGCAGGCUCGCGCUUGAAUACAUUAGCAUGGAAUAAUGAAAUAGGACGUUUGAUUCUAUUUUGUUGGUUUCUAGGAUCGACGUAAUGAUUAAUAGGGAUAGUUGGGGGCAUUAGUAUUCAAUUGUCAGAGGUGAAAUUCUUGGAUUUAUUGAAGACUAACUACUGCGAAAGCAUUUGCCAAGGAUGUUUUCAUUAAUCAAGAACGAAAGUUAGGGGAUCGAAGACGAUCAGAUACCGUCGUAGUCUUAAACCAUAAACUAUGCCGACUAGGGAUCGGAUGAUGUUAAUUUUUAAUGACUCAUUCGGCGCCUUAA